CAGCCUGGGAUUUCAAGCUGGACACCCGGGAGGACCGAGGGGCCGCUUGGCCCGCAGCCCCCUAAACGGGACUGAUGCGGCAUGGGAAAAACACUUCUGAGGACCCACUCCAGCGUGUCAGAAAACGACAGAGAUGUACAAAUAUUCUUAACGAGUUUUAGCAGCUUUUCAAGGUUUGGACCACAUUUCAGGCUGGGCAAGGUGUCGGACGGCACCUUGGCCCAAGUCAAGCUCCGGGAUGGCUGAAACUCCUCGGCAAAGAUGCUUCGUACCGAACCACGGGCCGGCGAGGAUUUUACGUUUCAAAAAUGCAUAAAAUGUCAGAGAGCAACAAACUGCUGUUUCCCCAGAGCCAGAGAUGGCCCCAAACAGGCUAGAUGUUCACCUAUGGCUGCAUUUCACCAUUGCAAGGUUCACCACUGGAGAACAAUCCCCCAAAUGGCAAAGAGAUUGAAUAAAUCACGCCUCACCCACGGCAAAGACAUUCCAACCAAAACCACAGGAAAAUAUCUGAAGGAAGAGGCCCAACUAGGAUAAGUAUUACAAUACUUUGAAUUGUUUGUACAUUAAGUUGCUAAUGUCAAAAAUUUAUGAGACCAUAAGGCGCUUGUACAAUGCUCUGCACACAGUAAGUGCUCAAU